rnacentral:misc_RNA from 1 species
GAUGAAGAACGUAGUGAAAUGCGAUAAGUAAUGUGAAUUGCAGAAUUCAGUGAAUCAUCGAAUCUUUGAACGCACAUUGCGCCCGCCAGUAUUCUGGCGGGCAUGCCUGUUCGAGCGUCAUUUCAACCAUCAAGCCCCCGGCUUGUGUUGGGGACCUGCGGCUGCCGCAGGCCCUGAAAACCAGUGGCGGGCUCGCUAGUCACUCCGAGCGUAGUAAUACAUCUCGCUCAGGGCGUGCUGCGGGUUCCGGCCGUUAAAAAGCCUUAUUUACCCAAGGUUGACCUCGGAUCAGGUAGGAAGACCCGCUGAACUUAAGCAUAUCAAUAAGGGAGGA